UACGUAGGGUGCAAGCGUUGCUCGGAAUCAUUGGGCGUAAAGGGUUGGUAGGUGGUCUCAUUUGUCGGAGGUGAAAGCCUUGGGCUUAACCCAAGAAGUGCCUCCGAAACGGUGAGACUAGAGUUCUGGAGAGGCUAGGGGAAUUCCCGGUGUAGCGGUGAAAUGCGUAGAGAUCGGGAGGAACACCAGAGGCGAAGGCGCCUAGCUGGACAGAUACUGACACUCAACAACGAAAGCGUGGGGAGCAAACAGG
rnacentral:rRNA from 1 species